GGGGAAAGUCUGUUAAGAAUUAAAAAAUCCAUAGCUAACAUCCAUUUUAAAAUUAUCCAGGGAGAAAUUCAAUCAUGGACUGAGGUUUUCCUGUUUUGGAUUGAUGAAUAAAAAGGCUUGGGCUUUGAAACCCAGCCAACUUUGUGAUGUCAAACACAUCCUCUCCUUGGUGGUGCUGCAGCCCUCACCAACACAGACUCCUCAACGCCCUGUUGCUGCAAAGCCGAGCUGAAGCGCACUGGGGAGCAGAGAAGGUGCUCGGACCCAGGCAAGCAGGGGGCAGACAAAUAAGUCUUAAAAAUAGGAGGGGAAGAGGGGAAGACAGAGAAAUCCUGGAUCACUGCUUGGGACAGACAUACUUGUCAAACAAACCCCAUUCUGUUGAGGCUCAAUCUCUCCUGCUCUUUGCAGAGCAGAGAGGACAAGCAAGCCAUGAGGGUGUAUCUCUCCGCCACACUGGCCAUACUCCAGGUGGGUAAGUAUCUGCUGCCUCCUAAGGAUUCUUUGUUUCAGCUGAUCCGUGCUUUGUGUGAGCUUGAUGUGCUUCUCGUUAACUGCUCAUUUCUGUUUUCCCUGUCUUGGGAAUAGGCUCCCAAGACUGUUGCCUGCCUGCUUCCCACUCUCCUUGUUUGUUCCUCUUCCGCAAAAAUGAACGUCUGUCCAAACAGUCUCCUGGGCGAGACUUGUGAAGCAGGAGAAUAGAGCCGCAGUGCAGUCUUCAGUGGAGGUGAAACACAUCCAGAAAUUUUCCAUCUGCCUCACCAAGGAAGAUUACCUGAGGAUGGACUGUGUGCCUACAUGCAGCUCUGUGCCUUACUUCUGCUCCUUCUUGGAGAACGGGAUGCUGAUCGGCAGCACGGACCCAGGGAGGUUACCACACCCCAGCUACAAGCUCAGGUCUAACCUCACUGUGGCUGCGGAUGGCUCAUGUCGCCUCACUGUGACCGAGCAGCUGGGCCUGGCCAACAAGACCUACUUCUGCUCCUUGCAGAUAAAGAAGAAGUUGAAGAAGGUGAACAGACACAAAGACGCGCAGAGAAGGACAGGAACCUCAAACAUAACUCUGAACAACGGGACUCUCCCCCGAUGCUCGGGGCCCUCUGCGCCCCACGCGCUCCUCCAGGAGUUGAUGCUGCUCGUGCUGCUGUCCACGCAUGUGGCAGCUGAGCUCCUGUGAGCCGGAUACGCGCUGCCCCUCCGGGCUGGGAAAUCAGUCUGCUACCACACUCGGCGGCCAUCAGUAAAUCUUUCCCUCUUCACGCCUGUACAUGCAGGAACAGUCCAGAAAUGUGAACCUUGUUUUGUCAGAAAAUUCCCAGAUUUGUCCAUGUGUGCUUCCCUAAAUGGACAAACGAACAAACUGUCAAACAGGUUUCCCUUGACCUGAAGUGUGAUAGUAGCCUCAUGUUCUUGUAAAUAUUAUGACUUAAGAAAGGCAAUAUCUGCAAAAGUUAAAGUUAUGAAAGUAUUCAUUGGUUGUGGCUUUUAAAGCUCUCCUUUAUAGAUUUAUAUGUUGAUCCUAGAGAAACUGUUUUAAGGUGCAGAUAAACAGACUGUUUUUUCUAGAUUAGUAUUUGUGUUGCUUUUCCACAAUAGCAAGUUUAUAGGUUGCAGACUGACGUGUAAAAAUGAAAUCAUAAAUGACACUUGCCUAAUGGCACUUCUGCUAAUUCUAACUUGCUUCAGUUAGAAUACCAGAACAAACACGGCUGUUGUGGGCAGCUAGUGUCGAAAUCAUAGCUGUGUCACCUUGUGGUCAUUGCUGUUUUUUGUCAAUACUUUUCACAGAAUCCACAUUCUCCUCAGCCUGCAUAUAUUUAGUCCUUAAACUAGCAGUAGACUUUCAGAUAAUUGUGCAUGAGGAAAUACUAGGGUUUAUUUCAAGUAGGAGAUAAGAUAUGUACUAGACUCAAGAGUGUCACAACCCUUACCAGGAGUAAUUGUUUUGGGUUUUUUUGGAUAAUGGAUAUAACCAUUAAAAGCUUUGGUUUAUAAGAAUCCUUCCAUUUUCAAACCGCUUCUUCCAAUUCAGGUUUGCGAGGGAGCUAGUGCCUAUUCCCAGCAAGCAUGCUGUUGCAAAAAGCAUGUUGCUAUUGCAAUUAUAAAAGCUUUUAACACAUUAAUAAAAAUAGCUGGACUGAUCUUUGAAAGCCUUGCUUGAUGUUUCCCACUUCAAGAUGUCUCUUUCCUGAAUCUCUGAUGACUUCUUAAACCAUAAGAAUCCUUGACAGUGACCAGACUCCUGCAUUUAGACACUGAACGCAACACUAGGGGUAGUCAACAGUACCUGCGUGGCACUAUGCGAGGGGUGAGAUCUAAAACAGGGGCUCAG
ensembl:lincRNA